rnacentral:rRNA from 1 species
UACGAAGGGGGCUAGCGUUGCUCGGAAUGACUGGGCGUAAAGGGCGCGUAGGCGGUUUGGACAGUCAGAUGUGAAAUUCCUGGGCUCAACCUGGGAGCUGCAUUUGAUACGUUCGGACUAGAGUGGGGAAGAGGGUCGUGGAAUUCCCAGUGUAGAGGUGAAAUUCGUAGAUAUUGGGAAGAACACCGGUGGCGAAGGCGGCGACCUGGUCCUUGACUGACGCUGAGGCGCGAAAGCGUGGGGGGCAAAACAGG